rnacentral:tRNA from 1 species
GUGACGUAGCCAAGUGGUAAGGCAACGGUCUGCAAAACCGUCAUUCACCAGUUCAAAUCUGGUCGUCA